AUGAGGGCGGAUACGUUGAAUGCCACGUCACUCACAAAUGCUCUAAACAUGUACUGUGCUAGCUCAGGACAACUGGUUAGCGAUGCAAAAUCCAGUGUGUUCUUCAGUCCCAAUACUUCAGUGGAAGUGCGAGCGGAUAUCUGUUCACAACUUAAUAUUGUCUCAGAGGCGAUUUCGGAUAAGUACUUGGGGUUACCGUCAAAAGUUGGAAUUGACCGAAGUGAUAGUUUUCAAUACCUAGUUGAUAGAGUUUGUGCACUUAUUAAUGGGCGGAUCUCAAAAAUGUUAUCAAUCAGCGGGAAAGAAACUCUUUUGAAGGCGGUGGCACAGGCUAUCCGGGUUUAUGCCAUGUCGGUUUUUAACAUCCCGAAGAAUAUUUGUAAGGCUAUCUGUGAUGCUAUUGCUAGAUAUUGGUGGGGCGACACGCAAGAAAAAAGAAGAUCCACUGGAAGGCGUGGUGGAAGAUGUGCAUUCCUAAGAAAGAGGGAGGUAUGGGCUUUCGUGAUUUACAUUGUUUUAACAAAGCUAUGCUAG
rnacentral:rRNA from 1 species